GCCGACGUAGCUCAGUUGGUAGAGCAACUGAUUCGUAAUCAGUAGGUCGGGGGUUCGAAUCCCCCCGUCGGCU
rnacentral:tRNA from 1 species